AGCGAACGCUGGCGGCAGGCUUAACACAUGCAAGUCGAACGGGCAUCUUCGGAUGUCAGUGGCAGACGGGUGCGUAACACGUGGGAACGUACCCUUCGGUUCGGAAUAACUCAGGGAAACUUGAGCUAAUACCGGAUACGCCCUUUUGGGGAAAGGUUUACUGCCGAAGGAUCGGCCCGCGUCUGAUUAGCUUGUUGGUGGGGUAACGGCCUACCAAGGCGACGAUCAGUAGCUGGUCUGAGAGGAUGAUCAGCCACACUGGGACUGAGACACGGCCCAGACUCCUACGGGAGGCAGCAGUGGGGAAUAUUGGACAAUGGGCGCAAGCCUGAUCCAGCCAUGCCGCGUGAGUGAUGAAGGCCUUAGGGUUGUAAAGCUCUUUUGUCCGGGACGAUAAUGACGGUACCGGAAGAAUAAGCCCCGGCGAACUUCGU
rnacentral:rRNA from 1 species